rnacentral:rRNA from 1 species
GUGUCAGCCGCCGCGGUAAUACGUAGGUGGCAAGCGUUGUCCGGAUUUAUUGGGUUUAAAGGGUGCGUAGGUGGCUAACUAAGUCAGUGGUGAAAUAUCUCAGCUUAACUGAGAGGGUGCCAUUGAUACUGGAUAGCUUGAGUACAGAUGAGGUAGGCGGAAUUGACGGUGUAGCGGUGAAAUGCAUAGAUAUCGUCAAGAACACCGAUAGCGAAGGCAGCUUACCAAGCUGUAACUGACACUGAGGCACGAAAGUGUGGGGAUCAAACAGGAUUAGAUACCCCGGUAGUCC